rnacentral:rRNA from 1 species
UACGAAGGGUGCAAGCGUUACUCGGAAUUCCUGGGCGUAAAGCGUGCGUAGGUGGUUCGUUAAGUCUGAUGUGAAAGCCCUGGGCUCAACCUGGGAAUGGCAUUGGAAACUGGCGACCUAGAGUGCGGUAGAGGGUAGUGGAAUUCCCGGUGUAGCAGUGAAAUGCGUAGAGAUCGGGAGGAACAUCCGUGGCGAAGGCGACUACCUGGACCAGCACUGACACUGAGGCACGAAAGCGUGGGGAGCAAACAGG